rnacentral:rRNA from 1 species
UACGUAGGGUGCAAGCGUUAAUCGGAAUUACUGGGCGUAAAGCGUGCGCAGGCGGCUUUGCAAGACAGAUGUGAAAUCCCCGGGCUUAACCUGGGAACUGCAUUUGUGACUGCAUGGCUGGAGUGCGGCAGAGGGGGAUGGAAUUCCGCGUGUAGCAGUGAAAUGCGUAGAUAUGCGGAGGAACACCGAUGGCGAAGGCAAUCCCCUGGGCCUGCACUGACGCUCAUGCACGAAAGCGUGGGGAGCAAAUAGG